GAGGUCAUCCCUGGUCAAGAAGCCCGCACCGCCACCUCCCUGCAGGGCCAGGCCCACUCUGCCGUCCUUACCCACUCCUCCUGUCUGGCGCUGGAGAGACACGGCGUCUGGAAACUCUGUCCCAUCCCAGGUCUCAGGGCCCAUCAGUGUCCAGCAGCACCCAGGGACACACCCAGACGUGUGGAAGCAGCAGGGCCUGGGUGGAGGACUGGGUUCCACCAGGACUGGGGUCUUUCCAGAAGGACACAGGGAAGGAGAGAGGGAGGUGCGGUGCAGACAAGGAAAGGGUGGAAGGGUGGGGCUGGGGGAGAAUGGGCACUGGAGAUGGAGGUGGGCUCUGCUGGCCACAAGGGCGGGGAAGGUGGAGCGGAGUCAGCGUCCUCUGCCAGUGCCUGGGAUCCUGCACCCUGGAGGCAGCCUUGCGAUGAGCCCUGCUGCAGGCCUGUGGACGUGACGUGAGCCCCACCGUUUCAUGGCCGCCCCGCUCCCUCUGUUAGAGUUUGGCCUGAGUCCAUUUGUACUGGCAGCUUCCACAACACCCACUGAGAUCCACGCCAAUGCGCCCCUCCCACGAGAACCCAGGUCACUCCCACUUGGUGACUGCGGACGAACUUUCCGGGUGUCACAUUGGUCCAGUCCCAGGGGGCUUCCAUCUGGAUUCCAGCCCACCCCCAUGCACCGGACGCAGGAGCCCUGGGUGCCGGCCACUCCAUGAAGGCG
rnacentral:lncRNA from 1 species